CCUACGGGUGGCAGCAGUCGAGAAUCAUUCACAAUGGGGGAAACCCUGAUGGUGCGACGCCGCGUGGGGGAAUGAAGGUCUUCGGAUUGUAAACCCCUGUCAUGUGGGAGCAAAUUAAAAAGAUAGUACCACAAGAGGAAGAGACGGCUAACUCGGUGCCAGCAGCCGCGGUAAUACAGAGGUCUCAAGCGUUGUUCGGAAUCACUGGGCGUAAAGCGUGCGUAGGCUGUUUCGUAAGUCGUGUGUGAAAGGCGCGGGCUCAACCCGCGGACGGCACAUGAUACUGCGAGACGAGAGUAAGGGAGGGGGAACCGGAAUUCUCGGUGUAGCAGUGAAAUGCGUAGAUAUCGCGAGGAACACUCGGGGCGAAGGCGGGUUCCUGGACAUUAACUGACGCUGAGGCACGAAGGCCAGGGGAGCGAAAGGGAUUAGAUACCCGAGUAGUC
rnacentral:rRNA from 1 species